rnacentral:rRNA from 1 species
AUUGAACGCUGGCGGCAGGCCUAACACAUGCAAGUCGAGCGAGCGGCGGACGGGUGUGUAAUGUAUGGGGACUGCCCGAUAGAGGGGGAUAACUCCUGGAAACGGUAGCUAAUACCGCAUACUAUCGGAUAACCCAUAUGGGAUUAGCUAGUAGGUGAGGUAAUGGCUCACCUAGGCGACGCUCCCUAGCUGGUCUGAGAGGCUGAUCAGCCACACUGGGACUGAGACACGGCCCAGAAUCCGACGGAGGCAGCAGUGGGGAAUUUUGGACAAUGGGGGAAACCCUGAUCCAGCCAUCCCGCAUGUAGGAUGAAGGCCUUCGGGUUGUAAAGUACUUUUGGCAGAGAAGCGGUAUCUGCAGAAUAAGCACCGGCUAACUACGUGCCAGCAGCCGCGGUAAUUC